GACGGAGGGUGCUAGCGUUGUUCGGAAUUACUGGGCGUAAAGGGCGCGUAGGCGGCCUUCUCAGUCGGGUGUGAAAGCCCGGGGCUCAACCCCGGAACGGCACCCGAGACGGGAAGGCUGGAGACCGGGAGAGGAGGGUGGAAUAGCCAGUGUAGAGGUGAAAUUCGUAGAUAUUGGCUGGAACACCGGUGGCGAAAGCGGCUCUCUGGCCCGGUUCUGACGCUGAGGCGCGAAAGCGUGGGGAGCAAACAGGAUUAGAAACCCCCGUAGUCC
rnacentral:rRNA from 1 species